CACGUAGGGUGCGAGCGUUGUCCGGAAUUAUUGGGCGUAAAGAGCUCGUAGGCGGUGUGUCGCGUCGGCCGUGAAAACCUGCAGCUUAACUGUGGGCUUGCGGUCGAUACGGGCAUCACUGGAGUUCGGCAGGGGAGACUGGAAUUCCUGGUGUAGCGGUGAAAUGCGCAGAUAUCAGGAGGAACACCGGUGGCGAAGGCGGGUCUCUGGGCCGAUACUGACGCUGGAGGAGCGAA
rnacentral:rRNA from 1 species